rnacentral:other from 1 species
AAGACCCUGCUUUGCACGUGAUGGUGGUAGGCUCGUUUGAGCCAACGUUUUAUCCUAAGUGAGCCGUGACGCUGUGUGGUGUGCAUGCCUCUGCGCGAGGAAGCCUGAAGCACAGCUUUUCCAAAGCGGUUCCACCUGCUUACGCAGGUUCAUCGACCUCCCCACACGGUAAAGCGGGGCCUUU